rnacentral:rRNA from 1 species
GAUGAACGCUGGCGGCGUGCCUAAUACAUGCAAGUCGAGCGAACAGACGAGGAGCUUGCUCCUCUGACGUUAGCGGCGGACGGGUGAGUAACACGUGGAUAACCUACCUAUAAGACUGGGAUAACUUCGGGAAACCGGAGCUAAUACCGGAUAAUAUAUUGAACCGCAUGGUUCAAUAGUGAAAGACGGUUUUGCUGUCACUUAUAGAUGGAUCCGCGCCGCAUUAGCUAGUUGGUAAGGUAACGGCUUACCAAGGCAACGAUGCGUAGCCGACCUGAGAGGGUGAUCGGCCCCACUGGAACUGAGACACGGUCCAGACUCCGACGGGAGGCAGCAGUAGGGAAUCUUGCGCAAUGGGCGAAAGCCUGACGGAGCAACGCCGCGUGAGUGAUGAAGGUCUUCGGAUCGUAAAACACUGUUAUUAGGGAAGAACAAAUGUGUAAGUAACUAUGCACGUCUUGACGGUACCUAAGCAGAAAGCCACGGCUAACUACGUG